UUAAAGCCCUCUGAUUUAUAUGGUUAGAAGAAGCACGAUCCAUGUUAAAGAGUAUUUUCACCACAAGAAGCCCAGGAACAAAGACACUAUAACCUCAGUUCAUACUCCAUGCUUGACAUUACAGUGUGCACUGAGUUGCUCUUUCUUGAGUUAAUUCUCAACAGGAAAUGAACCGGUAUCCGGAUGUAUUCACUGAUAGAGACUGACAGUGACUUCAUAUCACUUCGCACUGCCUUAACCCUCUUGAGCAUGGAGAUCAGAAGAGCAUCACCGGUUGCCACUGGGGUCCUCUUCAGAGCUGGUGGAUGUUCGAGACCUUGCACUCCUCCAUCUUCCAUUUGAGGAUGCCCCACAGAUGCUCAAUAGGGUUUAGGUCUGGAGACAUGCUUGGCCAGUCCAUCACCUUUACCCUCAUCUUCUUUGGCAAGGCAGUGG